GAGAAAACUCGCAAGGGCUGCUAACCCAUGUAUUCGUACCUAAAAUUACGAUUUUCUCA
rnacentral:tRNA from 1 species